AUAUCCCAACAUAUCCCAGCAUAUCCCCUGAGACUGGUGCUUCUGUGUGUGUUUCCAGUGCGGGGGUUGGCCGGACCGGUGUCUUCACCACACUCAGCAUCGUGCUGGAGAGGAUGCGCUAUGAAGGCGUGGUAGACAUCUUUCAGACGGUCAAGAUGCUGCGGACACAGAGGCCGGCCAUGGUCCAGACAGAGGAUGAAUAUCAGUUUUGCUACCAGGCGGGUCUGGAGUACCUAGGAAGCUUUGAUCACUAUGCAACGUAAAAAUCCAUCUCGUCCCCCGAAUCCUAUGUCCCCCUCAACAGUCUCCUGAGCCAUAGAAAUGACGACAACAACAACAGCAGCCAGAAAACAAAAUUCAACCAACAGAAUAGCAAACGAAUUGUAGCUUUUUUUUCUUUUUCUUUUUUAAAGCCAACAAGAGUGCAAUUCCAAUUGGACCCAAUGGACUUUGAUGCCGGUGAGGAAACCGUAAAUGACUCCAUCAGCAGAACUAAUUGACGCCCUCACUCUGAAGAAAGGAACCAAAAGUGGUGGCUCAAGCUGUGGGGUGGGAAUAAUUAAAGUGUUGGACUGCUAACCUUACCUCAAGUGUUCAGAUGUGGAGGUGGACAUUGUAAACAUUUUGUGGACAUCUAUUAAAAAAACAACUACGUUACAAACAAUACAAAGACAACAGUGAAUGAAGGAAAAACCAACUAGGCGACGUGACUGAGGUWAAAAAAAAAGGGGAUUGGUAAAAACUGAGAAAAUGGUGGAGUGGAUGUAGCUUAGAUGGGGGAAGCGUUCRCAUGUUUUACCAUGUAAGGACAGAGGUUCAGAGUUCCUAGUUGUUUAUAAACACUUCUGAUGGAAAACUGUGGUUGCCUGUGUACACAGAUGAUUGUCCCCAAAAUGUCAGACACCUCUGAUGAGACAAACACACUGAGUUAACGGUAAGGUACUGGCAAGAGAAGUCAACCUCCAUUCGGGAACCCCCUACCACACUCAUCCUUCUCUCUAAGCAAGAUAACCUCUACUGCCCAUAGUUCUGUUACAACCUUAGAAGCUCAACUCCCAACUCCUCACAUGUCCAUCAUCUCGUACAAAGGGUAGCCCUAUAUCCCUUCAACUCUUUGGGCUAAGAGGAGCUUCUGCAGUACCGAAUAUUCUGGGGGAAAGUGAUGACGGUGUCAUAAAGUGACUGCCAGCGGUGGAUAUCGUCAAAUGCCAAUUCAAUCAACUUACCGUUUUCAGUUUCUCCAUCACUUGAUGUGUGGAGCUUCUUGAGGACAAACCUCAACAUGUUUAUACAGUAACCACUGAUAUAGCUCUCAUAGCCUCAGUCACCAUGGAAACUGGGUAAAAAGAGACAGCUCUUGCAAGACCAGAUAAAUGACAAUGAAGUCCCUUKACUUUUUACUGUCACUCUUCGUUCAGGACUAGUUUUUACUGGUGCAGUGCCCAACAUAUUGAACGAGUGGAAUCACCACAGGAGAACUUGGCAUGGUGAAUGGCGGCAACUGAGCUCUCUUUGCAAACUUGUACAGUGACCAACAAYCCAUUGUAAUCAUUUGUUAAUUUUUGUCUUACAAUUACUUGUAUUUCUGGGAGUUUUCUGUCAAUACCAAACAUGCUGCUUAUUCUCCCGUAUGCUGUAAGUGUGACUCUGGUAUGGGAUGACAAUGGAGGUGCCUGGUCUGGCGGUGUCAGUUUGCACCCAUGCGGCUGAGACUGAAAGAGCAUCCACAUGUUAUGGUCCCCCCCCCAUCAACUCCUCUCGGCCUCCUCUGGACUCACUGUCUCACACGACUUGCUUGACUUAAAGAAAGAGACUAGUGCUCUACUAACAGUGGAAGGACAGUGGUUCAAAGUUGUGAGGAACUGAGUUGAUAACCCAGAGAAAGGUUCCUGUCUUUUCUCUUCCACCUAUUGGCCAAAGGCCACUGUGGAUGACUGGCCAAAGGCCACUGUGGAUGACUGGCCAAAGGCCACUGUGGAUGACUGGCCAAAGGCCACUGUGGAUGACUGGCCAAAGGCCACUGUGGAUGACUGGGGAAGAUCUGGCCAUUUUGGAUUUGAAUGUUGUGAUGUGAAAGUUAUGUCCACGCUACAAAUGACUUGCACAUCACUAAACUUGAAAUCUAAACAAUAGCAGGGCCGAUUCUACGCACUAUGUACACGUGUCUGACAAAAACAAGCCCUCAAAGCCCACAAUUUAAUUUUUUUCUCAGAGGUCUGUGCUUUGGUA